UGUCUUCGAGGCGGGGCGUAAUUCCCCACCGGCGGUGUGUCUUUCCCGACGAGCCCGCAAGCUGAUGCAGAAUUGGUGUGAUUCCAAUGCCGACGGUUACAGUCCGGAUGAAAGAAGAUG
rnacentral:ncRNA from 1 species